AUGAAGGCCUUCGGGUCGUAAAACUCUGUCCUCAAGGAAGAUAAUGACGGUACUUGAGGAGGAAGCCCCGGCUAACUACGGGCCAGCAGCCGCGGUAAUACGUAGGGGGCUAGCGUUAUCCGGAUUGACUGGGCGUAAAGGGUGCGUAGGCGGUCUUUCAAGUCAGGAGUGAAAGGCUACGGCUCAACCGUAGUAAGCUCUUGAAACUGGGAGACUUGAGUGCAGGAGAGG
rnacentral:rRNA from 1 species